rnacentral:rRNA from 1 species
CCCUUAGAUGUUCUGGGCUGCACGCGUGCUACACUGAUAUUGCCAAUAUGUCAUCCUUAUCCGAAAUGGAUUGGGUAAUCAAGUAAUGAAAUUUCAUGCUUGGAAUCGGUAAUUGCAAUUUUAUCGUGAACGAGGAAUUCCUAGUAAGCACUAGUCAUCAGCUAAUGUUGAUUAUGUCCCUGCCCUUUGUACACACCGCCCGUCGCUACUACUGAUUGGGUGUUCAAGUGAGAUGCUUAGACCCUUGUUGCAUGGUUCAUUAUUGUGCUCCGAAAGGAAAAAGUUUCAAGCUUGAGUGUCUAGAGGAAGUAAAAGUCGUAACA